UAAUGAUCCUUCCGUAGGUGAACCUGCGGAAGGAUCAUUA
rnacentral:rRNA from 1 species